AGCAGUGGGGAAUAUUGCACAAUGGGGGAAACCCUGAUGCAGCCAUGCCGCGUGUGUGAAGAAGGCCUUCGGGUUGUAAAGCACUUUCAGUUGUGAGGAAAGGUUGGUAGUUAAUACCUGCCAGCUGUGACGUUAACAACAGAAGAAGCACCGGCUAACUCCGUGCCAGCAGCCGCGGUAAUACGGAGGGUGCGAGCGUUAAUCGGAAUUACUGGGCGUAAAGCGCACGCAGGCGGUUUGUUAAGCUAGAUGUGAAAGCCCCGGGCUCAACCUGGGAUGGUCAUUUAGAACUGGCAGACUAGAGUCUUGGAGAGGGGAGUGGAAUUCCAGGUGUAGCGGUGAAAUGCGUAGAUAUCUGGAGGAACAUCAGUGGCGAAGGCGGCUCCCUGGCCAAAGACUGACGCUCAUGUGCGAAAGUGUGGGUAGCGAACAGGGUUAGAUACCCUGGUAGUCCACACCGUAAACGCUGUCUACUAGCUGUGUGUGUAUUUAAUACGUGCGUAGCGAAGCUAACGCGAUAAGUAGACCGCCUGGGGAGUACGGCCGCAAGGUUAAAACUCAAAUGAAUUGACGGGGGCCCGCACAAGCGGUGGAGCAUGUGGUUUAAUUCGAUGCAACGCGAAGAACCUUACCUACACUUGACAUGCAGAGAACUUUCCAGAGAUGGAUUGGUGCCUUCGGGAACUCUGACACAGGUGCUGCAUGGCUGUCGUCAGCUCGUGUCGUGAGAUGUUGGGUUAAGUCCCGCAACGAGCGCAACCCUUGUCCUUAGUUGCCAUCAUUUAGUUGGGCACUCUAAGGAGACUGCCGGUGACAAACCGGAGGAAGGUGGGGACGACGUCAAGUCAUCAUGGCCCUUACGUGUAGGGCUACACACGUGCUACAAUGGCAAGUACAGAGGGAAGCGAGACAGUGAUGUGGAGCGGAC
rnacentral:rRNA from 1 species